rnacentral:lncRNA from 1 species
CUGUGUUUGUGUCAAGUAGGAAUUUAAAGAAAUUAACAAUUUCUUAAAUGAUCAAGGGGGUAUUUGUCAAGCACACAACCACACCUUUAAGCAUUGACGACCUGCUUGUGGUUGUUUGUAUGUGUGUGCGUAUGUAUGUACGAGGUGUGAUGAGCGCGCGUAAGAGGUGACGAGGAGGUUGAAAGGAAAAAGGACCUGGAUAGCUGAACUGGUGGCGUUUGUGAGAGGUCACAGUAGCAAUAGCAGCAAUAGCAACAUAUUUCCUGUCAUCUGUAAACUGACUACCCCUAAAGGCGGUGAAUGUGUGGCAGACACAUGAGUUGGUGCCUUGCAACAUCAUAUCAGUGGCUGGGACAUUGAAGUCAACGGUCGCGUAGAAGAUCGGAUAAGAGCAAAUAAGGAAGUGAAGAAGUAAAGUGUAGUGAAGUGGACUAGUAACAUGGCUGGAAAGUGUAAGAAAAAAAGGAAACUGUAAAUGCGAUGUUAACUGUAUUUUUUUAUUUUUUUUUUUUAUGUAUGGUUUAACUAGAUAUGCUGAUCGGAAAAAUAAGAUGGUUAAAGGUUUA